UUAUACUACUUCCGGUCCAUGGCGAACGAUCAAUGGACCUUCUCGUUUUGAGGAAAUUUAGACCAUAUUUUGCAACGAUUCUGUAUCCAACACUUGUUCUAUCAUACAUUGGCUGGGAUCUUAAUCACACAAGAAUCUUCAAAGCAAAGAAAAGAGCAGAAGCCAAAGCAAAAGGGGCAACUGUUUAGUUUGGCAAAUACUAGUUUCAUCAAGAUGGCUGCUGGUACUGUUGCAAGAUCAAGAAGCGUGAUGCUGAACCCACGCUUCUUCAAGUACUACCUCCACCUGGGAAGUGUAACAACUUUGUUCUUCUUUGGGGGAUGUGUUGAUAAAUGGUGGAUUGAUAAGGAAAUGUCAACAUUCAGGAAUAAGUCUGGAUGUUUUCCUCCACGAGAUCUUGGGCCUGGUAACAAAUAUUGGUGAUUUGGAGGAUCAUGAAGGCAUGGAAUAAGCUCCAUGUUUGUGUGUAUAGAUUAUUUCAAUCUUUUUGUGUUGUAUCAAAGAAAUACAAGGACUGUUUACAAUAGAUAUGGCCACAGUGACUAGUAGUAUUGACAGUCUUAUCAGCAGACUUAAUAGUCAAUUGAUAAAAUGUAAAUUGUGAAAGGUUAUUAAAGAUUUGAAAAAUAA